AGGAACUGAAGCUUAGGGCAGGGGGCGGGGGAGUACUGGGAAGUGCCCAAGGACAUAAGGUGAAUCAUUAAACUGCAAGAUAUUCUCCUUAGACAAAGAGGCAACAGUCUUCCGGGGACAUGUUCUUUCUUUGAAAAGGUCAAGCCCUUCUCAGGAAUCUGCUCAGGGCAGGACUCUAGCUUUGCUUAGUUCGGACGUCCGGUCCCCGACAUUAUAUAUUAACUGCUGAUAUAUAUUUCUACUUGUAUUAAUAGUUCUAUCGAGAAUCUGCCUAUCACCAGGACAUCAGCAGCAUGUGUUGAGUCCCUUUGAGCUCUUUUCACAUCCCUGGCUAAGAGAUAAGAGGACCACUCUUGUGAAAUUUGAUGCCAGUAAGCAAGUGCUAUGGUGUUUUGCACUUUUCAUUGUUAGCUCCAAGCCCUGGAAGGUUGAACUUAAGAUGCUGAAGAAGCAAUGCAAAGAUAUCUAAUCAGCUCCAGUACACCUUGCCACUCUCACUUUUCUUUUAAAUGAAUAAAGAUGCUUGUAAGAUCAUGGGCCACCAAAAA